rnacentral:rRNA from 1 species
AUGACUCGAUCAAGGCCGACGACCACCAUGGGGGGAUCUGUGCCAGACCACCACCACCAGCAGCACGACGGGGAGGUGGACGGCGGGCAGCUGCAGCACGGCGGCGAGCACGUGGAGACGGUGAUGCCCGGGUUCCGUUUCCACCCGACGGAGGAGGAGCUGAUCGAGUUCUACCUCCGUCGCAAGGUGGACGGCAAGCGCUUCAACAUCGACCUCAUCGCCUCCGUCGACCUCUACCGCUACGACCCAUGGGAUCUCCCCGCACUGGCGUCGAUCGGGGACAAGGAGUGGUUCUUCUACGUGCCUCGGGACCGCAAGUACCGGAACGGCGACCGGCCGAACAGGGUGACGCCGUCGGGGUACUGGAAGGCCACGGGGGCGGACAGGAUGGUGAAAGUCGUGGAGGGAAACCGCUCCAUCGGCCUCAAGAAGACGCUCGUCUUCUACGUCGGCAAGGCACCCAAGGGCCUCCGCAGCAGCUGGAUCAUGAACGAGUACCGCCUGCCACACGGUGAAACCGAACGGUACCAAAAGGAAAUUUCGCUCUGCCGGGUCUAUAAACGCCCAGGGAUUGACGACAACUUCCACCUCACCGGCACAACAACAAGGUCGUCUGCCUCCAGGGCGGCGGCAACCAGGCACAGUACAGCAGCGCACCGGACGUCAGUGGCAACUCACCGCCAGCAGCCGCCAGUGUUUGUCGAGGGCGGCGGUCACCACUCAUCAUCUGCUCUCAAGGCGUACAACGCGCACACGACCCAAGGAACAAAUGCAGCCAGUGCCAUGACAUCACUGUCGGCGGCAGGGGCGACGCCGCCGGCGAUGUUCCGGUCGGCGGCCUCUGUAGCCUCGCUGAGCUCCACGACCUCGACAGAGGAGGAUGGCACGUCGCUCUACCACCACCACCUCAAAGGACACAACAACCCAGCAGUAAUGCAACUGCAUUCUUCCACGCACGCCACGCUGCUCAACAGCAAUUCCUCGGCAAUGGCGACCAUCCCGAUCGACGAGCUGAGUCGGGCGAUUGGGUCCUACAGCCAAGCUUCAAACCCUAACCAGCCCACGGCGCCACUGCAAGGCCCAUUGCUUAACUUCCCUAGCUUGGAGAAGAUCUGGGACUGGAACCCUCUCCUGGAAUCUCCAAAGGUUUGCACAAGCUUCAAGUAA